CCGGAACUCCAGCUCUCUGAGAAGAGUAAGGGAAGUCGACUGGAGAGUGUAUCCCGUCAAUGCAGCACAGUGAAGACAGCAGGGAAAGAGGGGCACAGAAGCAGUUAUGCUGUGAGAAGCUGAAGGCUAGAUAUGAAAAUCAUCACAUCAUAUCUAGAACUACUUAUUUAACAACCCGGAUAUAUCUCAAGUUAAGGGAACAGAAUCCCUCAUUCUUAUAUAUUCCAAUGGAAGAAUGAGUAGGAACUUCCAUGAGUUUCAACUCACAGCUCCCUCUCCCCUAUACAGGAAUGAAGCCAACACCCCUCAGAAGUUGGUUCAGGAUGCAGUGAUCUACCAGCUCAGAAGUGCAUGCUUCCUAAAGCACCUCAUUCCAGUGCUUUGCUUGUUACAGUGGCUCAGAUACUGAGUACAAAGUCAGGUUCCAAGUCUUGGUUAUGAUUUUCCCCAGAAAUGGUCCAAGCUAUCUGAGGAAGCCAGGUAGUUAAUAUUUUAAGUUUCUCAGAUUCCAUGGUGAUACAUAGCCUAUACGUCUAGAUAGAUAUCUGAUAUAAUAAAAAAGAUAUUAAUGACAUAGAGCCAGUCAGAUUAAGGAUUAUGAUACUAGAGUUUCCUCACCACAGCAUUUCCCCCAGAAAGGCCCUUUAUUGGCAUACAUUGUAUACCAAGCGCACAAUUCCCAGUCCGGCCACUAGGUGUUAGUGUCAGAUCUUGAGAGGUGAUGUGCACCUACUGAACAAGGACUACGGACAAGGAGUCAUCUGUUGGCUACAGCUAAAGAAGAGAUGCUAUACCAUCACAACCACUUUCCACAUGGUGGCAUAUUUUGGUUUUAAAUCCAACUGUGAGGCGAUCUAAGCUAUUGGCAGAAGUCAGGUGUUGCUGCAGACAGAGCUUCUCAGUGACCUUGAUCAAGAGUGGAAGAUUAUACAUACAGCUGUAAUUGGUAAAAUCAUUCACAUCAAGUGUCAACUUCUGACUGCAUGUUGCUGAGUGGCAUGGUACACUCUCCGUUGUUGAUCUUGGUCAGCAGAAGGCCAAGUGUCUCCAAACUGUGUUUCAAUUUGUUGUAAUUUUCUAUCCAUUUUUUUCUUUCUUGUAUGUUCCACUUCCUUUGUUCUCUCUUUUAUAUUCAAGGUAAAGCAUGGAAAUUUUUAAGAGCGUUUGAGAAUGUCCUUCACUUUGAAGUUUCUUGAUAAAUAGAGCCUAAACAGUUGAGGAAAACACAACAAGCCUCACUAAUUGUACUUUAACAUUCUGAUUGGUCAUGCUGAUGUGAAAGACUUUGUUAUCACCUACCAUACUCAGAUAAAAACUUUCCCAGGACAUUGCAGCAAUAAAGAAUUGCAGAAAUGAGGAAGGCAUGGCCAUAAAUCCUGACAGAGAACAACAAUGUGCCCCGUUACUACAGACGAUCACAAAUGAACUGUCGAAACAACUAUAUUAUAAACCCGAGCUCUGUCACACAUACUUUUAAGAUGUGCUGUCCUGGUCAAAGAAGGAUACAGUCUUGUUUACUCUAAAACCAAACCCCAGAACAUUGGCCUCUAAGAUCAGAUCAAGUGUAAAGUGGCCUAAAAUAACAAACAAUAAAUGCUAAAUCUGCAGAAUUCAUUCCUCCAGUUUAUUGAUGAAUACCAUGUACACAUUUUUAGGAUUUAAUCCUGCAAAAUGGUGCUGACCACGCAGACUCCCAGAAACUUCUAAAGAAGUUGAGGGUACUCAGCAACUUGCAAGACUGUGCUUUUAAAUCAGAAUCAGAAGUGGUUGAAAGCAAAAGGGCCUGAUUUUGACAUCACAGUGAUUUUAUUCUGGUGUGUCUGAAUUGACUUCAGUGGAAUUACUCCUGAUUAGCACUAUUGUAAAUGAAUGAAGCCCCCAAAACAGAUGAUGGGAGACAGCAGUAAAACAAACACAGAAUAGUCUUUACUUCUAAAUUCUGUGCUAGACCCACAUGAAUAGUGUAAAACCAUUUCCUGUGAAUGUUUGUUUGAAUUUUAAUAUGAAUUUUUUCCAACCAU